AAAUUUUUUGGAUGGCUAGAUUUUAGUUCAGGGCUCUUUGGAUGAUGGUUUUAGAUAGGAAAAAUUGUAGGAUUCACUGGUGCUGAGAUAUAAUCACGUGGCACAGGCCUGCGUGCUCUUUUCCGCUUUUGACAGGAUUGUAUGUCUGCCUGAAUAGAGGAGAUGUAUAUUCAAAAACUAAGCAGCGAUCCACAGAAGCAGCAGGACGUUCUAUAGUCUCAAUUGUUGUGGACCACACAUUUCUCUGCAUUAAAGAUACUGAGUUCCAGCUCGAACUUUUGAUGCAAUCACUCUUAUUCUCACGGGUACUCUUCUAUGACUCUUACAUAUUAAAUUAAAAUUUUCAUUGCCAUUGUCUUAGUAUUCUAUGACUCUUGGAUUUACUUUUAUAAAAAAAAAAAAAGGUUCAGUCUAUGGAGUGCGUAUACAUCAAGGAGGGUCCUAUGUACUCUUUUUGUUUUGUAGUUGUUUUUUUUUUUUUUUUUAAUUAUAAUUUUCCAAAGAAAAAGAAAGCCAAGAUUACAGCUGAUUACAAAGGACUGAGUUCACUAUUACAGCUUUCUUUAGACUUUGUUGAGAUCAGCAAAGAACCAAGUAUGUAACUUGGUCAUUAGUAUCAAACUUGAUAGUUUUAUGUUGCUGUCAUCAUCUUUAAUUUUCUGCAAUAAGGAUCCUUUGUGCUAGCUUGUCUUAGAAUUGUUUGAUUGUGAUUGUUAAUUUGCCCAGACGAUUGCUUGAUGUAUAAUUUUAGAAGGGUUAUCUACUUAAUAUUUCAAAAUCUUGAAACAUAGACUUCACUUUUGGGUAUGGUUAUAAGCUAUACUUGGUUGAACUGUGUUCAUUUGAUUUGUGUUUGCUGAAUUAUUUCAAUUUAUGUUUUUGUGAUACCUCAUUAGCUAUUUGAUCUGGUCUGCUGGCUAUGAAUAUGAAUGAACAUGUAUGAGAUAGAGAAAGAGAGAGCAGCCUGAUGAUGUUGAUGAGAGCUAGACAGAGAAAAACAGAGGAGAAUAGUAGGUUGCUAGAAGAGAACUAGGGCUUCCCAAACUCCUCGGAUCUGCGCCGUGGAGUUUGAAAGUGGAUGAGUGUUAAAAAGAGGCUCUACACAUUUGGAUGCGGAUUAGGGCUACAGGUACUGAUCAUGGAACGCUUCCUAUCUUUUUCGUUUUGAUUCAUUAGAACUGAGGUAUUGUACCGUACAUGGGUUUAGCUUGCAGAGUUUUCGUAGAGGUAAAGAAAGCAUCUGCAUUAGAAGGUUCUGAUUUCGUAUAUACACUUUUGUUGUUGUUGUUUUCUUAAUUUUUUUUUAUUCUGGGCCCUUCACUGGUCUCUCUCCCCUCAAUCCUCUUCUCUCGCUUGGCCUCUCCAAUAUCACUCUUUUCUCCAUCACUUCAUUUGCUUUUGCUGUUACGUUUUCUGAUUUCUGUGAAUUUGAGGGGUAUAAAUGGAGGGGGAGGGAAUUGGGUUUGGUUGUGAGAGUGAAAUUAUGCAUCUUUGUAUGUUAUUUCAGUCCAAGUUUGUACCUUUGUAUAUCUGUGUGUGUUAUGUUUUCAUAAAUGGGAAGGCAGCUGUGAUUGGGUUCCUACUGUUUUUAGAUUUUGAACUCUUGACUGUUAAAGGCUGGUCACGCAUUUCUACUGAUGUUAUCCGUUUAGAUGGAUAUAUGAAGCAGUGUUUAUUUCAUCCUAUUUAAAGGUCACUACUUUAACGUAGGAGAUGGGGUGACAUAAUAUUGUGUGUCAUAUAUGUUUUUACAACUUUUUACAUAUUUUAUACAGUUUCAAUACUCGCAUCAUUACGCGGGCACCUUUGCUAGUAUUGCUUAUAACCUGUUAUGAAAUAUAAACAAUUUGACUGAAUAUACAAUUUGUAUACCUAUAAAGAAAUCACAGAAGAAACAAAAAGGAAAGAUUUUCAGAAAGAAAAAAAAUGGUGGGAAGAGGGUACGAAGCUGGGGAAGGGAAGAAAUUGUAGCAACCAAGGAUU